rnacentral:lncRNA from 1 species
UAUUAAAAUUAUCAUUCAUCAUAUAACCAUCAUGAUGUACUUUCAGAUCAAUGCUCAAGUUGGCCAAGCCACACUCGGGUCUGAACAUUCAUUUGUUGGAUGCAUUUGGUGUUGUCAUGUCAAUGGUUAAACCUAAUCAAAAUUUUUUGUAGAGGCGACACACGCCUGCUGAAGGGAUGCUUGGGGCAAAAUCUAAUUGCUAGAAGUUAUUUAGAGAAAUAAUUGGUUAUGAACCUACCCAUGGAUGCACUA